rnacentral:lncRNA from 1 species
AUCAAUUUAUGAAGAUUUAUUAACAAAACAUUACAUGCUUUAUCAGUUUGGAAAUGUUUUACCCAGUAUGUCAAAUUUAAUUGUCUACUAUACUGUUUUUUGUACAAAAACAUGACAUUGACUGGACAGGAUGUGAUGCCAUUCUGCCUUUGCAGUGUGAUAAAAAAUUGACCAAAUUGCAGUAAGAAACAUCUAUUCUACUGCUAAGUAGGAAAUUUUGUGGGAAGGGUUAAUAAUUGAAAUUUUUGAAAUAUAAGCAACACACCAAUAUAUAUAUAUUUAAUGCACCAACAUAUUAAGUAAAAACUGAUAUUUUGUUACAGUAAGUAUUCUUAAAAAUGUGUACAAUAUAUGUAAUUACUUUAUUAUUUUAAUUCCCCCCCCCCCCGACGCAUUUACAUUAUUUAUAUAGAAACAGCUCAUACUGGAUUAAAGCAUAACCAUACCAAUUUUGGAUUUCUUUAUUUUUCAAGUCCCAACCCGAUAGAGCUAUAAUAAAAUAACUCUUCCCCAUAUCUAUGUUUUAACCAAACUUACAUUAAUAUAGGACAAGCAUUUAGCUUAUCACUGCCAAAAGUAAACUCUAAUGUUUAGUUACAGGGACUCCUAAAGUAAAAGAAGGCCUCUCACAUAGAACUGCUUAAAUAUCAUGCAUUCCAGUCAAAUGCAAUAAUCCAUACCUUCCCAUAAUGAUUUACAAUUGAUUUGAUCUAGAUAGCAGAACUGAAUGACUAGAUUCACAUAAAUAUAUGUUAUCAAAAACUGAAGAUAAAAUGUAAAAUGCAGGUUUGAAAAUGAAAACAUUUGACCCAGCAAAUAUUAUUGUGUGAUAAGUGAUUGUUUGUAGUUUGAUUUACAUCCAGUGGCAUUGAUAAAUAAAUAUUAUGAUUAUGUCAAAAUGAUUCCAUUCUAUAAAUAUAUCUGUAUACAUGGUAUAUGUAUACUAAAUUCACUUGUUUCAUAUCUUAUUUUGUAUUGAAAUAAUAUAACAUUACUUUACCUGGCCUUAAAUCAGAGUUGUUAUAUUAUAUUCAACUUCACACUAAAAAACUAUAUGUUUGGAGCUUAUUUUGGUAUUGAAGAACUGAUUGUUUUGUUCACUAAUCAAAGACUGUUACUGAUUUAAUAUCUGAUAACUGAAAUUAGUUGUUGGACACAGAUUUUUACAUCAGAUAUGAAAUUAAUUAAAGCCACUGGACUGAUGCAUGAAUAAUGGGUCCUGUCACCAUUAUCGUACCGCAUAUCUAUCUUACUGCACACCUCUAUCUUACUGAACAAAGUAAGAAUGUCCACCUGACCACAAAACAAAAUGGUUGUGUCUCUUGUGAGUUGGAUAUGGACAUGUAUGUAGUGAUUACACUGAUACUUUGUAAUCAACAGUAAGUCAAACUUUACUGAUGUUAACCAACCAUAAAUGUACAUUUAUUCAUUGGUACAAAACUUAUCAUGUUUCCUUGAAAUUAUAGUUUUAAGACAUUGCAGACACCAAAACAAUAGAAAACUUGUUGUACAAAAAAUAUUUGGUCUGUGUAAACACUAUUUCACUAAAAUUUACAAGAACUGUACUAUUACACUUAUACUGUGUUUACCCAAAAGGUCACAUGCAUGGUCAUAUUGGUGGUGCCCCAUCCAUUAAUUUAAGUACAAAUCCUUUUUAUCGGUAAUUUAAAACUCCAUAUUACUCUUUAUAAGUCCUCUUCCUUCAAUACUCAUGACCACCAUAGUCCAUUCUUUCAAACAUCAUCCUUCAAAAUAAUAAAGAAAGCACUGUCCUUUCAUAAAAGAUAAAGACUCAUUCUAAUACCUUGUUACAAAGUUCUCACAAGCAAGUUUUACACAGUUGUGUUCCAAAUUUCCUAUGGCAUCCUGUCUUAACACAAAAAGGUUUAGUGUAUGACUAUCACAGAUGGCAGCAAGCUAAUGUAAAGUUUUACCUAGAGAGAACAUUUUGAGUCUACAACUCUUUCUCACUGGAUGAUAAAUAUUGAUGGUUAAGAAUCAUGCAAAUAUUCAUGCAAAUAAAAACCUGUCUACAUGCUUAUUCAUGUAAUCUGUUACUCAAAAUGAA